UAAGGAAUAUUGGUCAAUGGAGGCAACUCUGAACCAGCCAUGCCGCGUGCAGGAAGACGGCCCUCUGGGUUGUAAACUGCUUUUAUUCGGGAAUAAACCUGCUUACGUGUAAGUAGCUGAAUGUACCGAAGGAAUAAGGAUCGGCUAACUCCGUGCCAGCAGCCGCGGUAAUACGGAGGAUCCAAGCGUUAUCCGGAUUUAUUGGGUUUAAAGGGUGCGUAGGCGGCCUGUUAAGUCAGGGGUGAAAGACGGUAGCUCAACUAUCGCAGUGCCCUUGAUACUGAUGGGCUUGAAUGGACUAGAGGUAGGCGGAAUGAGACAAGUAGCGGUGAAAUGCAUAGAUAUGUCUCAGAACACCGAUUGCGAAGGCAGCUUACUAUGGUCUUAUUGACGCUGAGGCACGAAAGCGUGGGGAUCAAACAGGAUUAGAUACCCUGGUAGUCCACGCUGUAAACGCUGUCGAUUUGGGGGUUGGGGUUUAACUCUGGCGCCCGUAGCUAACGUGAUAAAUCGACCGCCUGGGGAGUACGGCCGCAAGGUUA
rnacentral:rRNA from 1 species